UAUCGAGAUCUACCAAUGGUUUUGUUAGCGACGGUUCAAAAAACCGUUAGUAAAAAUUGGUUUUAGUAACGGUUUCUAAAGCGUUACUAGAACCGAGCAUACAGUAACAGUUUUCAAUGAACUGUUAGUAUAGCCCCACACUGUUGCCACGCCUUUCUAUGGGCCGUUAGUAUAACCCGUUCCUUUUUCCCCUGGCCCCAAUUAUUUGGGCGCGAAAUAUCCCGCGGUAUCUCCUGAUUUUCCUCCAAAUUAGCUCGCUCCUAAUUUUCCCCCAAAUAAGCCCUAAGUUUUUCCAUCUAUUCACUCCUUCUCAGUUCUCACUAGCUUAAGCCACACCAAACACCGAUUCAGAGAAGACGAUCGAAGACGAACAGAUUUUCCUUCUCUCGUUCUCUCACUAAACAUCCAUCCGUUUCUCCUCCACGCCACACCGCACCUGGAGAAGACGAAGACGACAGCUCUCUCUCUCUCUCUCUGUGUACCAAAUUUUUCAUUGUUUGAUCAAUUGGUUCUCUUCCUUCGUAUCUCUCUGAAAUUUGAACCCUAAAUCAAUUUUUCAGAGAAACUAUUGGGUAAUUUUUACUCUCCGACUUAGAGCAAGUUCAAAAGAUGCCGUGUGGGCUAUAAAAAUUCAUUGUCCUGGUUUCUUUUGUCGAUUUUAAUCUACAAAUCCUUCUCCCUAUUUCUGUGGUGAGUUGAGUUGUGUUUGCUCAACUUCAGAUACAAACACUAUUUUGCUGAUAAGAUGACAACAUACAGAAAUACUGGUUGUAUUUUAUUAGCAACAAAAUUGGUUGUAUUCACUCUUUCAGCACAUGCAAAGCUAUGAUUACGCUCAUUUUAGUGUCCCUUAAUUUUAAUGUCUUACAUUUUGGAAAGAGCAACCCAAAACGUGUUUCUAGUGGGAAUCAGAGGGUUAUGUAGAAGGGUUAGAGAAACUAUCUACUAAUGGAGAAGGAUUAAGGGCUCAUAUGAUAUUAGACUGCUGGCUCGGGAUUGGAACAUCAGCCCUAGGAUUUUUGCCAUGUAGCUAUUUUUUUCUUCUUAUUUUAGUAUCCAUAGUAGUUUUGGAGACUUUCUGCUUAGUUGGAUGUGUAUUUUGUAUGUUCUGAUUAUGGUAAUGGAAUUAGAAGUUACGAA